rnacentral:misc_RNA from 1 species
AUCAACAAUGAAUUGAAAACCCUGUCAAAUUCAACAAAAAUUCAGCAUCAAAGAAAAAACACAGAUAGAUCAAUAAACUUCACAUUGACAAUCAGAAUCAAAAGAAGUACACAGGGAGGCUCUAACUCAGAACCAAAGGAUCAAAUCAAAACACACACUCUCAUUUCCUCCGCCUUAAAGAGACAACAUAGAAUUAACCUAAUCCCUUACCAAAGAGGGUGUACUUCUUUCUCAACAUGUCAUGGAUAUUAAAAUGUAAAAAUUUACUUAUUAAAUAAUUAGCAAAUUCUCCACUUG